rnacentral:tRNA from 1 species
UAAACCUUAAGUUAUAUAAACUAAAAGCCUUCCAAGCUAAAAAAAGAAAAUUCUUAGGUUUUA